UACGUAGGAUGCAAGCGUUGUUCGGAAUUACUGGGCGUAAAGAGUACGUAGGCGGUUUAAUAAGUCUGAAAUUAAAGACUGGGGCUCAACCUCAGGGAUGUAUCGGAAACUGUUAGACUAGAGGACAAUAGAGGAAGUCGGAAUUCUCAGUGUAGCGGUGAAAUGCGUAGAUAUUGGGAAGAACACCAGUGGCGAAAGCGGACUUCUGGGUUGUUACUGACGCUGAGGUACGAAAGCGUGGGGAGCAAACGGGAUUAGAUACCCCGGUAGUCCACGCGGUAAACGAUGGAUACUAGAUGUAGCCGGUCUCGACCCCGGCUGUGUCGUAGCUAACGCAAUAAGUAUCCCGCCUGGGGAGUAUGGCCGCAAGGUUGAA
rnacentral:rRNA from 1 species